UCCAGACUCCUACGGGAGGCAGCAGUGGGGGAUAUUGCACAAUGGGGGAAACCCUGAUGCAGCGACGCCGCGUGGGUGAAGAAGCGCCUCGGCGCGUAAAGCCCUGUCAGCAGGGAAGAAAAUGACGGUACCUGAAGAAGAAGCCCCGGCUAACUACGUGCCAGCAGCCGCGGUAAUACGUAGGGGGCAAGCGUUAUCCGGAUUUACUGGGUGUAAAGGGGGCGCAGACGGCGAUGCAAGCCAGGAGUGAAAGCCCGGGGCCCAACCCCGGGACUGCUCUUGGAACUGCGUGGCUAGAGUGCAGGAGGGGCAGGCGGAAUUCCUGGUGUAGCGGUGAAAUGCUUAGAUAUCACGAAGAACUCCGAUUGCGAAGGCAGCCUACUAAACUGCCACUGACAUUGAUGCUCGAAAGUGUGGGUAUCAAGCAGGAUUAGAUACCCGGGUA
rnacentral:rRNA from 1 species